UUACACCCCGUACUUCGAAGAAACACUGUUAAAUUUGAAUGUAAGAAUGUCGAGUUACGACUAGUUAAAACAACUUUGGAGUAUGAGGAAUGAGACAUUAUUAAGUAUAUUGUUUAAAUAAUGGAUGAUUAUGAUCUUGUAAGUCGUCAUCGGGAAAGAGUAUUUUAAAACACAAGAAUAUGGUCAUUAUCAUGUAUAAUAAGUGAUAAAUAUCAUGUAUGGAGGGUUUCGGAAUAUUUCGAGAUCGAGCAAGUUGAAGAAAAUAAGUUCGACGAAAAUUUGAGAAAUGCUGGACAAAUUUUUAGUCAACUUUGGAGGGGUAUAUCUCUAUGCAUAUUUGGAGUUUUAAGGCGUUUCAAAAGCCUAAAAUGAAGUUCGUCAAGUCUAGUUUAUGAUUCAACAAACCACUCAUCGAUAGGACGUCGGAGUAGAGAAUUAUAGACGCUACAAACUGAACUGUCGCGCAGAAACAGCACUGCUACAGUACGCUACAGCACUGCUACAGUACUGUAGCUACAGUGACGCCGUUUCAGCCCUUAUAAAAAGGGGCAAAACCCCAUUUUUAUCAUCUAAAAACUUCUCAAAUUUUCCAGAAAAUUCAGCAACAAAAAGGGGCCUAAAUCUCACAUAAAAGUGAGGAUUGUGAGUGAAAUUUCAAGCUACGAAGUACUAAUCGAAGUCCGGGCAACGCAUAAUCACGAAUAUAAUUUUGUUUGGAGUUAGAGGAGCAUGGGAACAAUAAGAUGUUGAAGGAUUUGCUACUUUCAUAAAAACAAGGUUUUGGACGAAACGGGAUUUGAGUUUUGGCAAGCGUAAAGGGCAAGAAAGGUACAGACUACAGAUUUGCUGACCCACCUGCCUAGGACACCUAUUCUGCUAUUCUGGAGUGCUCUUUUGUCCAGAGCCUAUACUCUGGUACAGUCUGCUGCUGUUGGAUAUAUGUGCGCUAUUCAUGGGUACGACGGGGCCCUGUCCUGUCUUAUGUUUCUGUUAUGUUCUGUAGAGGUCUGUAGACAUACAUGUGGGUUCUGUAUAUGUUUUGGGUUGCUAUGAUUUGUGAUAGCCUUAUCGGCUUCCAUGUGUUAUAUAUGUUCCUCUAUGACACUAGUAAUGUCGACUGACUUUUAUAUUUAUAUAAUCUGCUAGUCUGCUGGUUUGGAUUAUUGGGUACGUUUGGGUGUCCAGCACGGACACUAGUCACGGCCUACGGGGUUGGGUCGUGACAAAAGUGGUAUCAGAGCAGUUCGUCCUCGGAAUGUCUACAGACCGUGUCUAGUAGAGUCUUGUUUAUCGGUGUGUUGUGCACCACAUCUAUAAACAGGAGGCUACAGGACAUUUAGGGUGUUACUUUUCUUUGAAUCUUAGAUCGUGCGAUAGAGCCAGCUAUAGGAAAUGAACCCCUUUUUUUUUACUAACCCUUGAUUGCAGCUGGAGAACGGUAUCGACGUAAGACAGCGACUGAUGAUAUUGGAAGCUACACAGUACACAGGUAAGUAAUGGUAUGAAAGAUUUAUGCUGGGUAAGGUGUUUGAAAUACGAUUGAAACAUGAAGCUGAAGAUUGAAAAGAAAAAAAAAUAAGCAGGAAAGUGUAGUAGGUGCAGUUUGAGUUGGGCAUGUGAGGUAAGCCUCAGCAUCUUUAUACUUUUAUUUGAAAUUAUUAGCCCCGUGUGGCUAUGAGGCGAUAUGAUACGAUAUGUAUAUACGUAUAUGUGUUGGCCCUGUGAGGCAUGGUUGGUAUUUCCUGUGUACAGGUUUUGGGAUAGUAAGAAAUACAGAGGAACCUCUGCCCAAUUUUUUCUAGAAAUACGGAGAGGAAAAUGAGAUAUAAAUUCUUAACGUGUCUUGAAGAUCGAUACCGUAGGGUAAAUCUAUUAUGUUGGAUUAAAGUUUAAGAGAUACCCUCCAUGUCAUUUGUAAGAAGCAUUAUCCCUAUUUGGAAAAAUUUUAUCUCGAGAAAUCAUAUAUGAGUAGCAAAUUCUCAAUUUAUUUAAACGGACCGGAAAUAUGUUCCAACCCCAUUUUGCUUUAGAACAGCCUAGGUUGAGGGGCAAAAAUAUGUGGAAGGGCAAAGAUGCCCAACGGUUAAGUUUCCUCUAAUUGGAAGAAUACAAAGUGUAUGACAGGCAGUUGAGGAUUGAGUGGUCCGCUUACGACUCAAAUAUAUAUAUAUACAAAUAUGGAGGUAAUUAUGUGAAUUAAGUACUAACAGAUUCCGCGAAGUUCGUCGGAUUCUAGUUUUCUUUUGCUGGUAGUCGGAAGAUGCCUCACAGUAACAUUAUAUCAGUUUUCAUCGACUGAUUGGAGAUGGGAUCUGUGGAAUAAAAACUUAAACUCGUGAGCUGUCUAAAAUUACAUAUAUACACACAUGGAGAGUUAGUGGACAGACAAAUAACAAGAAAAAGGGAUGACCUUGAGUACAGGCGUAAAUCUUGGCUACAAAAGAAGAAGAAUGGAUUGCAUAGUUUGGAUAAGUUCAGUUUUACCGGGCAAGCAAUACUGAAAGUAAGUAAAGUAAAUACUGAUAAAUACGGGAAAAAAACAUUGAUAUCUACCUCGGGGAGAACUCUACCUCAACAUUCGAGGACGAAUGUUUUUAAAGGGGGGGAGAAUGUUACACCCCGUACUUCGAAGAAACACUGUUAAAUUUGAAUGUAAGAAUGUCGAGUUACGACUAGUUAAAACAACUUUGGAGUAUGAGGAAUGAGACAUUAUUAAGUAUAUUGUUUAAAUAAUGGAUGAUUAUGAUCUUGUAAGUCGUCAUCGGGAAAGAGUAUUUUAAAACACAAGAAUAUGGUCAUUAUCAUGUAUAAUAAGUGAUAAAUAUCAUGUAUGGAGGGUUUCGGAAUAUUUCGAGAUCGAGCAAGUUGAAGAAAAUAAGUUCGACGAAAAUUUGAGAAAUGCUGGACAAAUUUUUAGUCAACUUUGGAGGGGUAUAUCUCUAUGCAUAUUUGGAGUUUUAAGGCGUUUCAAAAGCCUAAAAUGAAGUUCGUCAAGUCUAGUUUAUGAUUCAACAAACCACUCAUCGAUAGGACGUCGGAGUAGAGAAUUAUAGACGCUACAAACUGAACUGUCGCGCAGAAACAGCACUGCUACAGUACGCUACAGCACUGCUACAGUACUGUAGCUACAGUGACGCCGUUUCAGCCCUUAUAAAAAGGGGCAAAACCCCAUUUUUAUCAUCUAAAAACUUCUCAAAUUUUCCAGAAAAUUCAGCAACAAAAAGGGGCCUAAAUCUCACAUAAAAGUGAGGAUUGUGAGUGAAAUUUCAAGCUACGAAGUACUAAUCGAAGUCCGGGCAACGCAUAAUCACGAAUAUAAUUUUGUUUGGAGUUAGAGGAGCAUGGGAACAAUAAGAUGUUGAAGGAUUUGCUACUUUCAUAAAAACAAGGUUUUGGACGAAACGGGAUUUGAGUUUUGGCAAGCGUAAAGGGCAAGAAAGGUACAGACUACAGAUUUGCUGACCCACCUGCCUAGGACACCUAUUCUGCUAUUCUGGAGUGCUCUUUUGUCCAGAGCCUAUACUCUGGUACAGUCUGCUGCUGUUGGAUAUAUGUGCGCUAUUCAUGGGUACGACGGGGCCCUGUCCUGUCUUAUGUUUCUGUUAUGUUCUGUAGAGGUCUGUAGACAUACAUGUGGGUUCUGUAUAUGUUUUGGGUUGCUAUGAUUUGUGAUAGCCUUAUCGGCUUCCAUGUGUUAUAUAUGUUCCUCUAUGACACUAGUAAUGUCGACUGACUUUUAUAUUUAUAUAAUCUGCUAGUCUGCUGGUUUGGAUUA